rnacentral:rRNA from 1 species
CCUACGGGAGGCAGCAGUGGGGAAUUUUCCGCAAUGGGCGAAAGCCUGACGGAGCAAUACCGCGUGAGGGAAGACUGCCUAUGGGUUGUAAACCUCUUUUUUCAGGGAGGAAUAAAAUGACGUGUACCUGAAGAAUAAGCAUCGGCUAACUCCGUGCCAGCAGCCGCGGUAAGACGGAGGAUGCAAGUGUUAUCCGGAAUCACUGGGCGUAAAGCGUCUGUAGGUGGUUUAAUAAGUCAACUGUUAAAUCUUGAGGCUCAACUUCAAAACCGCAGUCGAAACUAUUAGACUAGAGUAUAGUAGAGGUAAAGGGAAUUUCCAGUGGAGCGGUGAAAUGCGUAGAUAUUGGAAAGAACACCGAUGGCGAAAGCACUUUACUGGGCUAUUACUAACACUCAGAGACGAAAGCUAGGGUAGCAAAUGGGAUUAGAUACCCCAGUAGUCCUAGCCGUAAACUAUGGAUACUAGAUGUUGAACAGAUCGACCUGUGCAGUAUCAAAGCUAACGCGUUAAGUAUCCCGCCUGGGAAGUAUGCUCGCAAGAGUGAAACUCAAANANAUGACGGCGNGAGACGNGCCGACGGACGACGACGAGGGAGGUAGG